UACAAAUUGAGUAGCGUGCCCUCAUAUUC
rnacentral:piRNA from 1 species